UGUUUUCUUCUCUCGACUAUCUUGGUCGGUUCAAAUAAAUACCCCGUCCCGCCACACGCAGGAAAAAAGGUAUUUAUGUCCCCAUUUUUUUUUAAAUCUAUACUUAUA